rnacentral:rRNA from 1 species
AUUGAACGCUGGCGGCAGGCCUAACACAUGCAAGUAGAGCGGAGCGGGAGACGGGUGAGUACUGCCUAGGAAUCUGCAUGGUAGUGGGGGAGAACGUCCGGAAACGGGCGCUGAUACCGCAUACUAUCAAAUCCACCUAGGUCGGAUUAGCUAGUGGGUGGGGUAAGGUCCUACCAGGGCGACGAUCCGUAACUGGUCUGAGAGUCUGAUAAGGCACACGGGAACUGAGACACGGUCCAGACUCCUACGGUAGGCAGCAGGGGGGAGUAUUGGACAAUGGGCGAAAUCCUGAUCCAGCCAUGCCGCGUGUGUGAAGAAGGUUUUCGGAUGGUAAAGCACUUUAAGUUGGGAGGCGUUACCUACAGAAGAAGCACCGGCUAACUUCGUGCCAGCAGCCGCGGUAAUAC